CCUACGGGGAGCAGCAGUGAGGAAUAUUGGUCAAUGGGCGGAAGCCUGAACCAGCCAAGUAGCGUGAAGGAAGAAGGCUUUCGGGUUGUAAACUUCUUUUGACAGGGAAGAGCAGAAGACGGUACCUGUCGAAUAAGCCACGGCUAACUACGUGCCAGCAGCCGCGGUAAUACGUAGGUGGCAAGCGUUGUCCGGAUUUACUGGGUGUAAAGGGCGUGUAGCCGGGCUGACAAGUCAGAUGUGAAAUCCGGGGGCUCAACCCCCGAACUGCAUUUGAAACUGUUGGUCUUGAGUAUCGGAGAGGCAGGCGGAAUUCCUAGUGUAGCGGUGAAAUGCUUAGAUAUCGCGCAGAACCCCGAUUGCGAAGGCAGCGUACCGGCUCCACACUGACGCUGAGGCACGAAAGCGUGGGUAUCGAACAGGAUUAGAUACCCCAGUAGUC
rnacentral:rRNA from 1 species